rnacentral:rRNA from 1 species
GUGCCACCUGCCCGGUGACACCAAUUUAACGGCCGCGGUAUCCUGACCGUGCGAAGGUAGCGUAAUCAUUUGUCUUUUAAAUGGGGACUUGUAUGAAUGGUAUAACGAGGGCUUAACUGUCUCCUCCCUCUUGUCAAUGAAAUUGAUCUCCCCGUGCAGAAGCGGGGAUACUCUCAUAAGACGAGAAGACCCUAUGGAGCUUUAGAUACUAAGGUAGCCCAUAUUCAAUGAACCCUUGCUAAAGGAUUAAAUCUAUGGUAACCCUACCCCUAUAUCUUCGGUUGGGGCGACAAUGGGGAAAUAAAAAUCCCCCAUGCGGAACGGGAAAAUUUUAUUUAAGAAAACUAUUCUUACCAUAAAACUACUUCCCCAAAUUAAGAGUGACAACUCUAAGUUACAGUAUUUCUGACCAUAAAUGAUCCGGCGCUUGCCGAUUAACGGACCAAGUUACCCUAGGGAUAACAGCGCAAUCCCCUUUUAGAGCCCACAUCAACAAGGGGGUUUACGACCUCGAUGUUGGAUCAGGACAUCCUAUUGGUGCAGCCGCUAUUAAGGGUUCGUUUGUUCAACGAUUAAAGUCCUACGUGAUCUGAGUUCAGACCGG